AUUGAACGCUGGCGGCAGGCCUAACACAUGCAAGUCGAGCGGAUGAAGGGAGCUUGCUCCUGGAUUCAGCGGCGGACGGGUGAGUAAUGCCUAGGAAUCUGCCUGGUAGUGGGGGAUAACGUCCGGAAACGGGCGCUAAUACCGCAUACGUCCUGAGGGAGAAAGUGGGGGAUCUUCGGACCUCACGCUAUCAGAUGAGCCUAGGUCGGAUUAGCUAGUUGGUGGGGUAAAGGCCUACCAAGGCGACGAUCCGUAACUGGUCUGAGAGGAUGAUCAGUCACACUGGAACUUAGAAACCGGCCCGACUCCUUCGGGAGGCCGCAGUGGGGAAUAUUGGACCAUUGGCGAAAGCCUGAUCCAGCCAUGCCGCGUGUGUGAAGAAGGUCUUCGGAUUGUAAAGCACUUUAAGUUGGGAGGAAGGGCAGUAAGUUAAUACCUUGCUGUUUUGACGUUACCAACAGAAUAAGCACCGGCUAACUUCGUG
rnacentral:rRNA from 1 species